GGCCAUUCCAGUCACCUCGCCCAGUAACAUCUACCUCAACCACUGCACCUUGAUCCCUCUUGUUUCUAUCCCCACCUGUGCAUUUGUGUUCAUGAGAUCUCAUGUAUCCUUGUCCAGCGUUUGACAUGGUGCGUAGAAUCAUUCUCCUGUUUCUACUUCUGUAGUGUUAGACUCUGGAUCAAAAUUCAAGUUAUCACUGCACUAACCUCUAUCUGUUGCAUAAAGAAAGCCCUCUGAUGAGGAAUGAAAGUUGAACUAAAAUACAGGUAUGUGG